AUUAGAUAAACCUCGAUGUGUAUAAGCUUGAAAUCUGAAUAGAAACUUAUAGUUUCAAAAUUUGGUAUUCUAGGGUAUUGCGAGGACGCAGAAUUCGAUUCCCAACUUGAUAUCUGAACUCCACUCUUGGAUGGGAAGUUUGAAAGCAUUUGAGCAGCUUAUAUUUCCUAUGAAUGUACUUGAACAACUUGAAUUUAAAUUUCGGUUUGUAAUGAAUUCUACGUUAAGCACUGUACCUUUUAUUUUUGGUUGCCACUUGAAGCUGGAAAAGUGUAACCCUAAGUCUGGUAUCCGGCUUGUAUGUACGUAUUUGUGUGGUAUGGCUUUAAUCCUUGUAAGUAACGCACGAAGUGUUUAAGAGCCGUCGAUUGGCUAUCUUAUAAAUGUUGUUAUCUUUGAAGUUAAAUGAGGAUUUAGUUUAUUCUUCGGAA